rnacentral:lncRNA from 1 species
CCUGUUUCACUCCAAAAAAAAAAAAAUUUACGUCAAGCGAGAUACUGAUAAGCGGCACAUUACAACGGCUAUAAAUGACAAAAGAGCCAUGCAAGUACCCGACUCUUCUUCUCAGUCCUUCAGAAGCAGAACUCACACUGUCUUCUGCUUUGGGAGUUCUGCUGCUCGAAGUAUCAGCCCCAUGUUCCUCAGGUGUUUGCACAUCAGACUGGAUCAUUGAUAUGUUAAUCAUACAAAUAGAAGCCGCUGCUCGAAGUCUCGGCCACAGGUUCCUCAGGUGUUUGCACAUCAGACUGGAUUUGAUAAAACGACAAUAGCAGAUCAUUGAUAUAUUAAUCAUAUACAAAUAGAAGCAAAAACAUUUUUGACAGACUACUUGCAUAUGACUAUAACAAGUUGAUCUAAUAUAAGUUGAAAGAUAGACUCCAGAAGAGAAGAUUGAACCACGUUCAAAGACAUCAAAAGAACGGAGUUAUGGAAACAACAGUAGCAGUAAGGCCAAAAGAAUGGUGAAGUCUGAAAUGCUGAGCACUAUGGACUAACAGAGCAAAUAAUGCACUAAAUUUCAAUGACAGCCUAUUGAUAAAAAAUAUGCCAGCUCUUUUAUAUUCCGUAAGGUGAAUCGGAAUGAUAAAUCACAAA